rnacentral:antisense_RNA from 1 species
UAUUAUGGUGGGGCGUGCAGGGGCAUCUUCGGAUGCGCCGGGUUCGCGUUUAACCGGUAAGGCUAACCCUGAACGUCUCACCACCUUU